UACGGAGGGUGCGAGCGUUGUCCGGAAUCACUGGGCGUAAAGGGCGCGUAGGCGGCGCGGAAAGUCAACGGUGAAAGCUUGGGGCUCAACCCCGAGUCGGCCGUCGAUACUUCCGUGCUCGAGCACUGUAGAGGCAGGUGGAAUUCCGGGUGUAGCGGUGGAAUGCGUAGAGAUCCGGAAGAACACCGGUGGCGAAGGCGGCCUGCUGGGCAGUAGCUGACGCUGAUGCGCGACGAGCGUGGGGAG
rnacentral:rRNA from 1 species